rnacentral:tRNA from 1 species
UGAGGUAUGACUCAGUGGUAGAGUGCUUGCCUACCAUGCAUGAAUCCUUGGGUUCAACCUCAAGCAUUGCUA